rnacentral:lncRNA from 1 species
CCGAGAUCAACAUACAACAAUUCAUGGGUUAUUCCCGUAAUCAAUGAUUAUCAGUCCGUGGGUUUUUCCCGCAUAUAAAACAAAUAACAAUCUAUAGGUUUCCCCGAGAUCAAUGAUCAUUCAGUUCGUGGGUACUUCCCGAUUUUAACCAAUUAUCAAUUCGUGGGCUUUUCCCCGUAGUUAAACAACUAACAGUUCGUGGGGUUUUUCCGCCUUUUAUCACUUUUCAUUAUCCUUUCUAAAACGCAACAAUUCACAUAUCAAUUCGUCAUUCUCUUUUUCCCUUUGAGUUCUUAAUAUUUUUCUUUAAACCUUUCUUAACUUUCUCAGGCAUUUAUCCAUAAAAAUCUUAACCAUCAAGCCAGUCAUAAUCUCUACUUUAGCAAUCUUGACUCAAGCCAACUUUAAAGCUAUUUUUCAAUUUGGUUCUCUAUCGAAAGACUCAAGAAAAAUCAUUUAUUUUAAAUUCAUUAAACACUUUUCAAAACAUAACCUCUCUUUGAAAAUAAUCGAAUAGAACUCUUUCUCAAGUUCACUAACUUCACAAAGAUUCAAAAAUCAUCUCUCUUACUAUUCAAAUUCAAAUAUUAUUAUUUCACCAAAUUUCUAAAAAGGUAAUCCUUUAUUUCAAGUCCAAAACAUAACUCUUUCUAUAUUGAAUCAAAUUCAAAACAUAAUUUCUUUCUUAAAUAAUUCAAGUUCGAAACAUAAUUCCUUUCCUUGGUAAAUUGAACUCAAAAUAUUUUAAUUCUUUUCUAAACUAAAUAAAGCUCAAGUAAUAUAAUUUUCCACAUUCAAAGCUUCUAAAAUAACUUUUCAAAUGAAACCUCAGGUUUUUAUAAAAUUUUGGCAGCACCUCCCCUAAAACUCGGACUUAACCACCCUUACGGGUUCCCUCUUUCUCAACAAGUCUCCCCCUUUCCUCAACAACUACCAAAUAAGAGGUUCUCAAAUCAGUCAGAAAAUUCACAAUUUAUAAUAGCCAACAGUUCGGUCAUAACCCACAAUUCCCACAUAACCCCUCAAUUCAACUUUCACCUCAUCAAUUCGUAACUAACUUUCACUUAUCAUAGGAUUCUUUCAAAAUUAAACUCAAUAAACUAGUAUUCCAAGAAACUUGGUGUUGAGGUAAUUUGGUCACAAUAAAAACUUGUACCAUCUCUCUUAAAAUUCUGUUAUUGUUUCCUAAGAAAAUGCAGAAAAAUAGCAGCAAGUAGUAAGUUUGAUAAAUUCCUUAAAAAUCCAGUUUUCACCCAAUGCCUUUCAAAACUCACGACCUCAAACAAGACUCUUUUAGCUUUUUAUUGAAUCAAAUUCCAGAUUAAUACCAUGUCAUAUGAAAAAGUUAUAAAGUGAGAAACACAGCCAGGCCUUUUAGAAUUCGGUUUCCAAAAUCCAGUGAGUUAUCCAUACUCUUUUCAACAUAUCUACUUGGUUAAAUAGGAUAUUGACAUGAAAUUUAAAAUGAAGAUUGUGCACACAGGAAGCUUGAAAA